rnacentral:rRNA from 1 species
AUGGAGGCGCUGCACGUCGGCGGUGAGGCGCGCGGUGGCGUCGUUCCUCAUGCCAGACGCAUGCCGGCGGUGGUGGCGUUCGCCGGCGGCUGUGCGAUGGAGCUCUGGGCCGUGUGUCGGCCCAAGAAGAUGCGCGGUGCUGCGGCUGUCACCGGCAUGUGUCGCCAGAGUCGGAGGAGAUGGCAUAUGUCGCUGCAACCGGAGAUGAGGAAGACGGCGUAUGUCGCCAGAACGUCAGGCGUGUGUCACAGGCGGAAAAGGAGCUCGACGUGUGUCGCCGAGGAAGAGCAUGGAGGCUGCGUCAAGCGUGACGGAGGGUGUAGCGGCGGCCAUGACAACGACAACGACGGGAGUGGCAACAAACUCCAACGCUGA